CGCAAUGUGCGUUCAAAGAUUCGAUGAUUCACUGAAUUCUGCAAUUCACAUUACUUAUCGCAUUUCGCUGCGUUCUUCAUCGAUGCCAGAACCAAGAGAUCCGUUGUUAAAAGUUUUGAUUAUUUGCUUGUACCACUCAGAAGAAACGUCGUUAAAU
rnacentral:rRNA from 1 species